rnacentral:rRNA from 1 species
GACGAACGCUGGCGGCGUGCUUAACACAUGCAAGUCGAACGGAAAGACCCUGCUUUUGUGGGGUGCUCGAGUGGCGAACGGGUGAGUAACACGUGAGUAACCUGCCCUUGACUUUGGGAUAACUUCAGGAAACUGGGGCUAAUAUCGGAUAGGAGCUCCUGCUGCAUGGUGUGGGUUGGAAAGUUUCGGCGGUUGGGGAUGGAUUCGCGGCUUAUCAGCUUGUUGGUGGGGUAGUGGCUUACCAAGGCUUUGACGGGUAGCCGGCCUGAGAGGUUGACCGGCGACAAUGGGACUGGGAGACGGCCCAGACUCCUACGGGCGGCAACAGGGGGGAAUAUUGCACAAUGGGGCGAAGCCAGAUGCAGCAACCCCGCGUGCGGGAUGCCCGGCUUCGGGUUGUAAACCGAUUUCGCCUGUGACGAAGCGUGGGUGACGGUAAUGGGCAAAGAAGCACCGGCUAACUACGUG